rnacentral:lncRNA from 1 species
CGCGUAUGCGCAGUAGUCACAGAUUUCUUCUCCCUCCUGCUGGAAUAAUGAGUCGGGGAAAAAUAUUGAGCCUGAGCUGGGACGUUGCUAGCGAAGCAGAGAUUUCAGUCCCCAGGUACACAGCUGUACACUCUUCAUUGUGGGUCCCUCCAGCUGCGGCACGUGGGACGCCGCCUCAGCGUGGCCCGACGAGCAGCGCCCUGUCCGCGCCCAGGAUCCGAACCAACGGAACACUGGGCCGCCUGCAGCAGAGCGCGCAAACCCAAUCACUCAGCCACGGGGCCAGCCGCCUGAAUCCAUUACUUUUUAAGCCAACUACACUGUUGCUUGGAACAGAGACAAGAUCCCAG